GUGAACAGAAAAUGUGUCGCAUUAGAAUCUUGCACAGAGAAAUAUAAUGCAUCAUCGUAUUCAUUCCAACUCAGAGACUGUAAUGAUAAAUUACCAGUGUUAUGUCGGGGACAUAGAAAAGAGACUAAAAAUGAUUCUAAUGUUAGUACAACGUCCUUCAUCACAUCGGUAGAAAAUGCGAACCAUUUGAAUGAAGGAACUCCUGUAAUGGGGGUAGUGAAUGUUUUAUUGUUUGGAUUGUUGAUGAUCUUUGCUCUCCUGUACGUAAUGGUAAAUAGAAAAAGGAAUGCAUUACCAUAUCCA